rnacentral:rRNA from 1 species
CACUCCUGCGGGAGGCAGCAGUGGGGAAUAUUGCACAAUGGGCGCAAGCCUGAUGCAGCCAUGCCGCGUGUGUGAAGAAGGCCUUCGGGUUGUAAAGCACUUUCAGCGGGGAGGAAGGCAAUGCGGUUAAUAACCGUGUUGAUUGACGUUACCCGCAGAAGAAGCACCGGCUAACUCCGUGCCAGCAGCCGCGGUAAUACGGAGGGUGCAAGCGUUAAUCGGAAUUACUGGGCGUAAAGCGCACGCAGGCGGUCUGUCAAGUCGGAUGUGAAAUCCCCGGGCUCAACCUGGGAACUGCAUUCGAAACUGGCAGGCUUGAGUCUUGUAGAGGGGGGUAGAAUUCCAGGUGUAGCGGUGAAAUGCGUAGAGAUCUGGAGGAAUACCGGUGGCGAAGGCGGCCCCCUGGACAAAGACUGACGCUCAGGUGCGAAAGCGUGGGGAGCAAACAGGAUUAGAAACCCUAGUAGUCCCAUG